rnacentral:tRNA from 1 species
AGCUCCGAGGUGUUUUACAUAUCAGAUUGCAAAUCUGAAGAAGCAGGCUAGCGUCUGCCGGGGCUU